GUAGCCUGGUGGUUAAAGCGUCUGCCUCAAAUGCGGGAGGUCGUGGGUUCGAUCCUCGGUCAAGUCA